GAUCUCUUCCUGGAGGUUGUUCCUUUCUGAAGCUUUCCCCUGUGAACCUGGAAUCUUCUGAUUCGGGUGAAUCUCAUCUGCUUUUAAGUGACCUGAUGCCAAAUAAACUCUCCUGUGAUCAAAAACAAAAAUUCCUCUGAUGGCACCAACCAUUUAACCACAUCUUGAUCAGAGGCUACCUUGGUAUGUGGGUGUGACUGCCUCAUCCUAGACAGCCCUCUGGAUGGGAUUUCUUCAAUUUCUUUUUGUACUGGUCCUUCAUGUUCCAGAGCCUCAUACCGGACGUAUAAGGGCACCUGGGAAGAGAUAAACAAGAGUCUUCAAGACAUGCUUGUGAAAAUCUGCACCAACAGAGGACCACUGUUGCCAUCAUCAUUGCUGAGGCACAUCAGCCACCACCUCGCUGUGCUAACACACACUUACUGAUCUCCAUAAACAUUCAGCAAGCUUUGAUGGAUGUCAGUGGGUGCAAUUUAUUUUUGCAUAGAGGAAUUCAAUUGCACAUCUUUGCAUUAUCUGCACUUCCCUGUCAGAUGCCAUUCUGUCAGACUAUGGCCCUCUGCUGCCAUAUGUUGUUGCAUGGCAACAAAAUUUAAUGGAAUAUUGGUGAGAACAUUCAACAUAUAGUGCCGUACCAACAACAUCUGGCUCUGACGAUGGUCACUGAGAAAGAUGGUUUUGUGAACACCUCUUUUCUGGCUCAAAGCUUGCUUUGUAAGGCCUUUUUGGUGAUAAGACUCUAACUGAUAACUGCGAAUUAUCUAGGGGAAAAAGUGGUUACUGUCACCAUGCCACAAUACUUCUUUUCAUGAUUGUGAAGAUAAGCAGAACUGUGACAAGCAGCGUUUUUAAGAGGUGCGACUUGAAGGAGCUGACCACUGCAAAAGGCAAUAAUGCUUGUGCAUGGCAACCAAGGCACCACUCCCCACUGGCUUAUCUGUUGGACCAGGUGUGUCAUGUCACACUAACAGAGAAAAGAAGAAGAAAAAGGAAAGAUACUGAAAAGUGGGGGGAAAAGGUCCCCCCUAAGGACUUUGGAGAAAAACUCCCAAAGAAAAGAAACAUUUGAUGGAGGAAUUCCCUAAGAGAAAAAGACCUCUUAGGAAAGAAUCCCUUGGGGUGAUUGGACAAGUUCCUGAAAUCAACAGAAAAAGUAGGAGCAACACUGAAAACCUUGGUGGUGACUAUCUCUCUUGCUUUCUACAAAGACUCCUUGCUUUUAUUUCCUAUCUUUUUCUAUCAUCCAUCUUCCCUUCCCUAUCUCUCUAAAGUACUAGGAUGUGUAAUAAACCGGUCGGGCAAACAUUUGACAUUUGAGUCUUGAUCUCACCGUUGGGUAUACAUGUAUCAAAAAGAACUUCCUCUCCCUCCUAUAAUUGGAGCGAGACAGUCACCGUAAUGAAAUAGUAGGCAUUACUUUCACAACCCUCAUGUAUUUCCCUUUACAAAUAUAUUAUGUGAGCUCUUCUGUUUUCUGUGUUUGGUAAAAUGAAUGGCUUAAAACAGCAUACUUUCAUGUUCCUUACAUCAGGCUUAUAAAGAAGUGCUUUCUUUGACAUGAUCCUGCUAGAAAUAUUUUGCAUAUCUGAAUUUUUCCUAGAAAAAAGAAUGACACAGGACAUAUUAAUA